rnacentral:rRNA from 1 species
UUAGGAAUCUUCCCCAAUGGGCGCAAGCCUGAGGGAGCGACGCCGCUUGAAGGACGAAGGUCUUCGGAUUGUAAACUUCUGAAACAAGGACGAAAUCCGUGCAAACGGUCUGACGGUACUUGUGUAAUAGCACCGGCUAACUCCGUGCCAGCAGCCGCGGUAAUACGGAGGGUGCAAGCGUUACCCGGAAUCACUGGGCGUAAAGGGCGUGUAGGUGGCUAAUUAAGUCUGGAUUUAAAGACCGAAGCUCAACUUCGGAAGUGGUCUGGAUACUGGUUGGCUAGACGACUGGAGGGGAGAGUGGAAUUCUCGGUGUAGCGGUGGAAUGCGUAGAUACCGAGAGGAACACCAGUGGCGAAGGCGGCUCUCUGGACAGUGCGUGACACUGAGGCGCGAAAGU